rnacentral:rRNA from 1 species
UACGAAGGGGGCUAGCGUUGCUCGGAAUCACUGGGCGUAAAGCGCACGUAGGCGGAUUGUUAAGUCAGGGGUGAAAUCCUGAAGCUCAACUCCAGAACUGCCUUUGAUUACUGAGAGUCUCGAGUCCGGAAGAGGUGAGUGGAACUGCGAGUGUAGAGGUGAAAUGCGUAGAUAUCGAUAAGGAAGACCGUGGCGAAGGCGGGUCUCGUGGACAGUCUCGACGCUGAGGCACGAAGGUCAGGGGAGCAAACGGG